rnacentral:lncRNA from 1 species
UCACAUUUCCCCUUUUCCCAUUUACCUUCUUUUGGGUUUGCCAAAAGAACUGCUAAAGAAAAACUCUUUGUUCCUUGUUCUGUUAAUUUCCUUUUUGAAGCUUUAAUUGGUUAUAAGCCUGUUACCUUUUUGUUAUUAGCGUUGGUGUGGGGUUCGACAGUUGAUUUUUCGUUGGGUAAGUUUUGUUAUAUGCAUUUAUAAACUUCGUUUUCGAUGCAUUCUUCAUGGGAUAAUGAGUGAUUUUGAAGUAAGGGUUCUUUUGAGUGUUUAAUUGUUUCGUGUAUUGUUAGGAGGAAUUGGUGAGACGUAUGAUGUCCUUCCAGAGAUUUAGGAUGAUUAUUUGGUACUGUUGCUGUGGUUUUGGGUAAGUAAGCGAGUUCUAUAAGGUUGAUUUUCCAAUUUGCUAACGCUUAAUUAUUGGUGGUUGAGGUCGAUUUAGUGACUUUAACUUUGUGAAUCGUUGCUAAAAGGGUGGUUUUAAUUGACAUUUUAGGUUCUAGAAUACUCGUUGGUGAAUCAGCAUCGAAAAUUGAUUAGGUGUGUGAUGAAAACUUGAGAAAUCAGCGAACAACUGAAAGCCAAAAUUGGGACUACCGACAACACACGUCUAUGUGCUAGUGUCACGGGCCAAAGUACAAAGCCCGUGACCAUGCCACAAGAAGCGCCCCAUGGAGGUCUAUCGAUUAGAUGGGGGGCAUUUAGCCCACAAGAACUGGCCCGAUUCAGAGAGCUACUAAAGAAGCCUAUCAGAUUGAAGCCUGGUUGGCCCAAUGAUGAAGACAUGGCAACUUAGGCAAUUUUGGUAACUAAUCUUAGAAGAUAGAAAAGAAUCAUAUCUUGUAAGAUUAGAUUAGAUUUGAUAUAGUAAAUCUUGUAAAUCCCUAAAAUCAAGGGAUAUAGUGAAUCUCAUCCGUUGAUGUACAUGUAUCUUGACCGUCGGUUUUGGGGGAGCUCAACUAUAAAUAGAGAGCCUCCCCCUCAUUUGUAAAUCAUCCAUUGUAACUUGAAUUCUUAAG